CUGCCUACUACGCCGCCAGCCCUGCGAUCUAGCAGCCAGCCUGGCAGAUUACUUUUCUUCUGCAUACCACCGGCAGCUCCGCGGGUUUCUUCACACUGGCUCAUUUAUCACCGCCAUUGCACGCUCGCUAGGGAUCGUGCCCGAGCAUGAUCCGCUGCUGUCCGAUCCGGUCCCGUCAUCCAGGUUGGGCCGCGCGUCAGUAGCCGCUAUGCAGAUCACCCGUACCUUUGAUGUCGGUCUGAGGUUCAGGGGUGCUGACGGGCUGAUUUGGCAGCCAGAGGUGUUGCCGGAGGUCAUCCCGGUUGUUAUUGAGGUGAGGCCUGGGAUGUUAGCCCCUCCUGAUGUUCAGCGGGCCGCUCGACGGGCUCAGCUACAGGCUCUGGGCAUCGAUGAGCCUGAGGCUUAGGCUCAGGCUCAGGCUCAGGAUGAUCCGGCGCAGGAGGAGCGGGUCGAGGAGGUUCAGCCAGCUCCUGAGCCGCCACAGUACCCGCAGCACGUUUACGCUGACCUGCCUCCGGCAGCGCGUGAGGUGGCUCGGGACUUCGACCGGCGCCUCAGACGUCAGGGCGCACGCAUUGACUGGAUCGUCCAGACGCUCGUUGAUCUACGAGAGCUCGCUGCGUUGCCUCCACUUCCCCUCCCACCGUCCCCACCGCACGAGGAUUAG
rnacentral:lncRNA from 1 species